rnacentral:lncRNA from 1 species
UUCCAGGAACGAAUUUAAAGAGUAACAUCAUUGUGUUCGUACCAACAAUAUGGAUUUAUAAUACUUAACAAGUACAAAUUUGAGUCCUCGCGGUGUCAUGCGUCUGAAGAUCAGAACUAUGUCCAUAAAUCUGUGAUACAAAUGUGUAAUAAAGAGCAGAAGGCACAAGAAUUAGAUUUGCACAAGAAUAAUCUAUUAAUCUUACAAGUGCAGAUUCUAUUCAAGUAUGCUUCCAGAAUGCCUGGCAUAAAAUGUUCUUGAAUGGAUAUGAAAUCAGGCUUAGGUCAUCAGACAUCAGUUUUCUUCUUCUUCUUUGGCACAAACUGUCGAGCCCAUAGAUGUUUUCCCCUGGUCAUGAACUUGACUCUCAUAUUCCCGUCUAGAACACGGAAGAGUGUCAUCUGUGAGUAAAAUGUAACGUGCGCGUACAGUGGUGGCCUACUUUCGAUUGGCUCCUCUACACUUAUUUCUUCAAUAUCUCCAUAGUGCCUGUGACAUGGAAGAAAUUUUUGAAACAAAAUUAGAAACUGCGUAUAUAGGCAAAACUAAUGAAAUGAAUUAAAUCUACUGAAUUUUCUCCUGAAAUUCAUUUUGUGUUCCUUAUUAUAUCCUUUCAUGUCUUUUAUGUCAAUUAUAUGUAUUAUCAAAUUUAUCACUUUAACUAGUAGAUUUCAGAUUUUGCGAUAUCUAUUGAUCGCCUUCACAGAUUGAGAGGUUGGAGUGUAUUUCUUCACACCUCCCUUUAUGACGACAUCACAACGGUUUUUCUGGCGCCUAGCAAAGAAGAUAGCAG